rnacentral:rRNA from 1 species
GACGAACGCUGGCGGCGCGCUUAACACAUGCAAGUCGAACGGAAAGGCCUGCUUUCCCUUGUGGUUUGCGGGUACUCGAGUGGCGAACGGGUGAGUAACACGUGAGUGAUCUGCCCCCAACUUGGGUAUAAGCCUGGGAAACUGGGUCUAAUUCCCGAUAGGACUGCAGGGUGGUGCCUGUGGUGGAAAACGAUUUUCUAGUGGUUGGGGAUGAGCUCGCGGCCUAUCAGCUUGUUGGUGGGGUAAUGGCCUACCAAGGCGGCGACGGGUAGCCGGCCGGAGAGGGUGGACGGCCACAUUGGGACUGGGAUACGGCCCAGACUCCUACGGGAGGCAGCAGUGGGGAAUAUUGCACAAUGAGCGGAAGCCUGAUGCAGCGACGCCGCGUGGGGGAUGACGGCCUUCGGGUUGUAAACUCCUUUCGACCGAGAGGAAGCCACCUGGUUGGAAGGGUGGUGACGGUAGUGGUAGAAGAAGCACCGGCUAACUACGUG